AACCAUUUCGGUACGUUAGUACCGGUAGAAAGAGUACCAUGUUUUGCCUGUACUUCAAACAGUUUAGCUUUAACCAUGUUAAUGGUCUCACAUUAUUGGUUGAUAGAGAAUCCAAUUUACCAGUAAGUCACGAAAUGCUAUGGUUCUUACAUAUGAUUUCUUUCUAAUUAAGCUUGAAUUUCAAAUUUAAUCACCAUAAAAUCACCACGUGACCCUCUAAUCUGAUUGGGGGCAUGGGAAUUUCGAAAUUGAUAGAGGGAAGUGGCAACAUGAUG
rnacentral:lncRNA from 1 species